AAAAAACUUUUUCGGCUUUUCUGUUUUCAAUUUUUAUUUAGUAGCAUUCGAAUAAUGACUCUAUUUAUUACUUGAUCUAUUUCAAAACUAAAAUGGAAAUAACAAGCCGAAUAUUGGUGGUAUUAUUAUUAUUGUCUAAGAAGGUUAAUGGAUCCAAACGUAGUUUCAUAGAACCUUAUUCUAUGACUCCGGAGGCAGUUCCAGUUAUUACUGCUGCACUAUUGGAAUGCUCAAAAAAACUUAAGGAGAACAACCGAGAGCAAUUGGAAAACUACCAACAAAUUCGGAGGCAUUUGUUGGUAAACAUUCGUGUCAACCCCAGUUUUAACCUUGAAAAGGUGGACCAAUUUCUAAUACUGGAUGAAAUAUUUGAUGCAAAAGAGAGGUCAAAGGCUAAAAUCAUGUCACCUUAUUUAAUUGAAAUUAGCAGAGGCGAGCCAGUAAUGAUGUAUCCAUUGGAAUUUUCUGAGUCUUUGAAACUCAAUGAUUCGAAUAGAACUCAGUUAAUCGAUGAUAUAUCACAGAAUUCCCAAAAUGGGACAUCUUCCAAUCAAAUACGAAAAGUCCAAAAAUUCAAGUCAG
rnacentral:lncRNA from 1 species